rnacentral:rRNA from 1 species
AUUGAACGCUAGCGGGAUGCUUUACACAUGCAAGUCGAACGAGCGGCGGACGGGUGAGUAAUGUAUGGGGACUGCCCGAAAGAGGGGGAAAACUACUGGAAACGGUAGCUAAUACCGCAUAAUAUAGGAUAAUGCAUAUGGGAUUAGCUAGUAGGUGAGGUAAUGGCUAACCAAGGCGACUAUCCCUAGCUGGGCUGAGAGGAUGAUCAGCCACACUGGGACUGAGACACGGCCCAGACUCCUACGGAGGCAGCAGUGGGGAAUAUUGCACAAUGGGCGCAAGCCUGAUGCAGCCAUGCCGCGUGUAUGAAGAAGGCCCUAGGGUUGUAAAGUACUUUCAGUCGGGAGGCGUUACCGACAGAAGAAGCACCGGCUAACUCCGUGCCAGCAGCCGCGGUAAUUC